AACGAACGCUGGCGGCAGGCUUAACACAUGCAAGUCGAACGCCCCGCAAGGGGAGUGGCAGACGGGUGAGUAACGCGUGGGAAUCUACCCAGUUCUACGGAACAACUGAGGGAAACUUCAGCUAAUACCGUAUACGCCCUAAGGGGGAAAGAUUUAUCGGAAUUGGAUGAGCCCGCGUUGGAUUAGCUAGUUGGUGAGGUAACGGCUCACCAAGGCGACGAUCCAUAGCUGGUCUGAGAGGAUGAUCAGCCACACUGGGACUGAGACACGGCCCAGACUCCUACGGGAGUCAGCAGUGGGGAAUAUUGGACAAUGGGCGCAAGCCUGAUCCAGCCAUGCCGCGUGAGUGAUGAAGGCCUUAGGGUUGUAAAGCUCUUUCAGUGGGGACGAUAAUGACGGUACCCACAGAAGAAGCCCCGGCUAACUUCGUGCCAGCCGCCGCCGUAA
rnacentral:rRNA from 1 species